rnacentral:rRNA from 1 species
GACGAGCGCUGGCGGCGUGCUUAACACAUGCAAGUCGAACGGUGAAGCGCCUUCCUUUUUGGUGGGUGUGGAUGAGUGGCGAACGGGUGAGUAACACGUGAGUAACCUGCCCCCUUCUUCUGGAUAACCGCAUGAAAGUGUGGCUAAUACGGGAUAUUCUGGGUCUGUCGCAUGAUGGGUCUGGGAAAGAUAUUGUUUCGGUGGGGGAUGGGCUCGCGGCCUACCAGCUUGUUGGGGGGGUGAUGGCCUACCAAGGCGGUGACGGGUAGCCGGCCUGAGAGGGUGGACGGUCACACUGGGACUGAGACACGGCCCAGACUCCUACGGGAGGCAGCAGUGGGGAAUAUUGCACAAUGGGCGCAAGCCUGAUGCAGCGACGCCGCGUGAGGGAUGGAGGCCUUCGGGUUGUGAACCUCUUUCGCCAGUGAAGCAGGCCUGCCUCGUUUGUGGGUGGGUUGACGGUAGCUGGAUAAGAAGCGCCGGCUAACUACGUGC